rnacentral:rRNA from 1 species
GAAAAGAAACCAACAGGGAUUGCCUCAGUAACGGCGAGUGAAGCGGCAUCAGCUCAGAUUUGAAAUCCGCCCUCUCGGGUCGAGUUGUAAUCUGCAGAGGAACGUUCGGCGGAGGCGGCGGCCUAAGUUUCCUGGAACGGAACGUCGCAGAGGGUGAGAACCCCGUACGCGGUUGCGCGCCGAUGCCAUGUGUACGUCCUUCGACGAGUCGAGUUGUUUGGGAAUGCAGCUCAAAGCGGGUGGUAAAUUCCAUCUAAAGCUAAAUAUUGGCCAGAGACCGAUAGCGCACAAGUAGAGUGAUCGAAAGAUGAAAAGCACUUUGGAAAGAGAGUUAAACAGUACGUGAAAUUGUUGAAAGGGAAGCGCUCGCGAUCAGAUUUUGGACGGCGGUUCACCUCUUCUUCUGAGGGGGGCACUCCACCGCUCCAAUGCCAGCAUCGGUUUCGGCGGCCGGACAAAGGCGCGAGGAACGUGAUUCCCCUCGGGGAAAGUUAUAGCCUCGCGCACAAUACGGCCAGCCGGGACCGAGGGACGCGCAUCUGCCAGGAUGCUGGCGUAAUGGUCGCUAGCGGCCCGUCUUGAAACACGGACCAAGGAGUCUAACAUCCGUGCGAGUGUUAGGGUGACAAACCCUCAUCGCGUAAUGAAAGUGAACGGAGGUGGGAGCUUCGGCGCACCAUCGACCGAUCCCGAGAUUCUUCGAAGGAUUUGAGUAAGAGCACGGCUGUUGGGACCCGAAAGAUGGUGAGCUAUACGUGAAUAGGGUGAAGCCAGAGGAAACUCUGGUGGAGGCUCGCAGCGGUUCUGACGUGCAAAUCGAUCGUCAAAUUUG